GACGAACGCUGGCGGCGUGCUUAACACAUGCAAGUCGAACGGGAUGAUUUAGAAGCUUGCUUUUAGAGAAUCUAGUGGCAAACGGGUGAGUAACACGUAGGCAACCUGCCGACAGGAUGGGGACAACAUUCCGAAAGGAAUGCUAAUACCGAAUGAAGCGCAGGAGAGGCAUCUCUCCUGCGUGAAAGAUGGCCUCUAUUUAUAAGCUAUCACCUGUCGAUGGGCCUGCGUCUGAUUAGCUGGUUGGUGAGGUAACGGCUCACCAAGGCGACGAUCAGUAGCCGGUCUGAGAGGAUGAACGGCCACAUUGGGACUGAGACACGGCCCAGACUCCUACGGGAGGCAGCAGUGGGGAAUCUUCCGCAAUGGGCGCAAGCCUGACGGAGCAACGCCGCGUGAGUGAAGAAGGGCUUCGGAUCGUAAAGCUCUGUUGAUGGGGACGAACGUGCGAAGGGUGAAUAAACCUUUGUAAUGACGGUACCUGUCGAGGAAGCCACGGCUAACUACGUG
rnacentral:rRNA from 1 species